AUGUGUGGGCGCAUCAUUAAAAGCUUCAAUUUGUCAAUGCCAGAUCGAACUCGAGUGCGUGGGCAGAUCAUUAAAGGCUUCAGUUUAUCAGAACCGAUCUCCCCAGCGUUUCUCUCCCCACAGGCGGUGUGUGCCGUGUCCCCGGCUCUCCAGGCUGUGCUUCAUGGAGGAGCCCCAGCAGCUUCUAUGUCCACAGGCCUUGCUGGGCUCCUUCCCUUGUACACCUCCAGAUGUAUGAUGUGUGCAGGCUACUCAGCUGAUGUGAUAGUCUCCUGAGAACAUUUUUUUCUGAGUGAUUCCAGCUUCCAGACAUUUGCCAUGAUAAGGGUUUCGAUCCUUUCCCAUAUUUGCCCUGAGUCAUGAGUGGAUAUGUGUGAUGCCUGCAAGUAAAACUGGUGAGUCGCCAAAGCCAUGUUUGCAGUAACUCUAACUCUUUCUUACAGUCUCUUUCCCUCACUCUUCUUUUCUUUUUGAUAUGGUGGGGAUUUGGGGUUCCUUUUUUUGUAAUGUCUGUGUUCAUAAACAAGUCACCACUAUUUUGUACCUCUCGAAUAAACACGUUAAUUGCAUUGAAAUAUCCA
rnacentral:lncRNA from 1 species